rnacentral:rRNA from 1 species
CCUACCCUUGACAUGCCAGGAAGCCUCUUGAGAGGGAGGUGUGCCCGAAAGGGAGCCUGGACACAGGUGCUGCAUGGCUGUCGUCAGCUCGUGUCGUGAGAUGUUGGGUUAAGUCCCGCAACGAGCGCAACCCUUGUCACUAGUUGCUACGGGUAACGGGCACUCUAGUGAGACUGCCGGUGACAAACCGGAGGAAGGUGGGGAUGACGUCAAGUCCUCAUGGCCCUUAUGGGUAGGGCUUCACACGUCAUACAAUGGCGCAUACAGAGGGCUGCCAACCCGCGAGGGGGAGCCAAUCCCAGAAAGUGCGUCGUAGUCCGGAUUGCAGUCUGCAACUCGACUGCAUGAAGUCGGAAUCGCUAGUAAUCGCGGAUCAGCAAUGUCGCGGUGAAUACGUUCCC